AACGCCAAAUACCCACCAAACGAUCAAAUGAAAAGGAGCCUCGAAAAACUGGUACAAGAAAGCGUCGAUGCCACUUGUAUGACUAAGGUCUCCUUGAGCUAUGGGCCGGGCAGUCUAAUCGUGUACGUAACCCUGACAACGCCAGCAAACGUCUCAGAUCCCUUUGUACCGCUCAAGAAUGCCCUUCUACAAAAUGCGCCAAGAUACAACUUAACGAUUAAACCGUCAAGUGUCAAAUUGCAG